rnacentral:rRNA from 1 species
AUGCAAGAAUUGGGAGAUGUGUACUGCUCGGUUGAGAAGUGGUGUGAAUUGGUGGAAAAAUUCACACCCAGACAGCGCAUGAUGCUACGUGGCACAAGUUUGGACUACGGCAUCAGUGUGCUUAAUGAAGAUGUUUACGACAUAUUCGGGCUACGUAACGAGGGUGAUGAUUCAUAUGAUGAUGAUUUUGUGAGAAGGGCCGUAUUGGUUCUUAUGGGUACAGUCUUAGCACCACAAUCCACCAAGUGUGUUCCUUAUCGUUAUUACAAAAUGGUGGAGGACGUGAACGCUAUCAAGUCAUACAAUUGGAACGAUUUUACGUUGAGGGUGUGCAUGGAUGCUAUUAAAAAAUCGGUCGAAGAUCUUGAAAAAUUCAAGUGGCCUAUCGGGAACUUGUCUCUUUUUUAG